UCUUGUAACGACCUAGUAAUAGGUAUGCUUUAGGAGGGGCUUGCGCCAUAUUAGUUAGUUGGUAGGGUAAUGGCCUACCAAGACGAUGAUGUGUAGCUGGACUGAGAGGUUGAACAGCCACAUUGGGACUGAGACACGGCCCAAACUCCUACGGGAGGCAGCAGUAGGGAAUUUUCGGCAAUGGAGGAAACUCUGACCGAGCAACGCCGCGUGAAUGACGAAGUACUUCGGUAUGUAAAGUUCUUUUAUCAAGGAAGAAAAGCAAAUGGCGAACCAUUUGUUUGCCGGUACUUGAUGAAUAAGCCCCGGCUAAUUAUGUGCCAGCAGCCGCGGUAAGACAUAAGGGGCAAGUGUUAUCCGGAAUUAUUGGGCGUAAAGGGUGCGUAGGCGGUCUAGUAAGUCAGUGGUGUAAUGGCAACGCUUAACGUUGUCCGGCUAUUGAAACUGCUAAACUUGAGUUAGAUAGAGGCGAGUGGAAUUCCAUGUGUAGCGGUAAAAUGCGUAAAUAUAUGGAGGAACACCAGAGGCGUAGGCGGCUCGCUGGGUCUUAACUGACGCUGAGGCACGAAAGCGUGGGGAGCAAACAGGAUUAGAUACCCUGGUAGUCCACGCCGUAAACGAUGAGUACUAAGUGUCGGGUUAAACCGGUACUGAAGUUAACACAUUAAGUACUCCGCCUGAGUAGUACGUACGCAAGUAUGAAACUUAAAGGAAUUGACGGGACUCCGCACAAGCGGUGGAUCAUGUUGUUUAAUUUGAAGAUACCCGAAAAACCUUACCAGGUCUUGACAUGUUUUUGCAAAAUGAUAGUAAUAUCGUGGAGGUUACCAGAAACACAGGUGGUGCAUGGUUGUCGUCAGCUCGUGUCGUGAGAUGUUAGGUUAAGUCCUAAAACGAGCGAAACCCUUAUCGUUAGUUGCCAGCACGUUAUGGUGGGGACUUUAACGAGACUGCCAAUGAUAAAUUGGAGGAAGGUGAGGAUCACGUCAAAUCAGCAUGCCCCUUAUGACCUGGGCUACAAACGUGAUACAAUGGCUGUUACAAAGGGUAGCUGAAACGCAAGUUCUUGGCCAAUCCCCAAAAACAGUCCCAGUCCGGAUUGAAGUCUGCAACUCGACUUCAUGAAGUUGGAAUCGCUAGUAAUCGCGAAUCAGCAUGUCGCGGUGAAUACGUUCUCGGGGUUUGUACACACCGCCCGUCAAACCACGAAA
rnacentral:rRNA from 1 species